CGGCCCAUCUAUCGCUCGUCUCUGUCUCUCCCCCGACUAGCUCCUCCCAAACCCUAUCCUAAUUCCAUCGCCGCCACCCCCACGACUCUCUCUCCCUCCCGAUCUGCUCCGGCACUGUCCGCUCCCGAGUCUCUCCCUCUACGGCGCCGCUCUCCUUCGCCUUCCCAUCGCUCUCCCUCUCUCAUGGCGUGGACUAGCAGCGACGACGGGGAAGCCGGUGAAGAUCUCCAAGAAGCAGGAUGAGGGGGUGGUGCCCAAAAAGUGCGUCCCAAGGAACCCUGCGUGGGGCAGUGCCUCCUCAAGAUCUCAACACUCGUCUCACCGACGACAACGCGCCCUGACAAAUGGUCUUCAUACGGAGGGAGGUGCUGUAGCACAAGGGGCAGCCGAUCAGUGUGAUCACAGAUGGUGUGGAUAAGAAUGGGAAGCCACACAAGCUGCAGCCCUAUUCCAUCCCCACCAGUGAGCUGGGGGACUUUGGGCCUUCUGUACAUCCGCCAACUGCCCCACCACAAUUGAUGACCACGAUGCAGGGUGGCUGCGGUGCUCCAUAUCUUCUCCAUGAGGUCUCAGGCUUGGUCAUCCUCUAGGGAAAAAACAAGUAAAAAAAUGAUGCCUUCUCAGUUCUCAUCGAUCUGGUAGCGGCAAGUUCAAUUCUGCAGCCUCGACCAUUUCGGCUGCUCAUCGAAUUGUUUCGUGUUACACUGGUGCAAGCCGGAGAAAAGCCUACUCUGGAUCCUAUUGCAGUUGACAUCUUCUUUGCGUUGCUUUCAUCGGUGAAAAUCCAGAACAAGAAGCACAUAUAUGAUGAUGCAUCACCGGCUGCCUCCACCGCUGUUUUCUCCUUAAACCUGUUUUCUCCUUAAAUCAGUCUGCCAACUAGACUAGACACUUCAAUUGAUGUCACAUAUUGUUGUACAGAACCUACAAUUUCUGUACAUAUAGAAACAUCAGAUUAGUACUUUUUUGGACACUGAUUUCUCUUCUCUAACUGAAGCAAGUCUCUUAUAUUUACUGAAAGGUAGAACUAACCAGUGAUCCUUGACGUGAAUUUCACAUCGCUACUAAACUCUCUUUAUAUCUUUAGAAUAUGAUUAUCAGGAGAUUAUCUUCAUCACAAAUCCAAACAGCUGUUGAGAUGCUAAUAUAAUCAAGAAAUUAUCUGGGUUGACACAUAAAAAAUAUAUUAACUCCAUCUGUUAUCAUGGUUGAUGUACAUGACUAUAUGCUCUCACCUUUUAUGAAAAAACAUGGGUUCCAAUUAUAUGUCUGUCUUCCUAUAAAGAGAACUUCCAUAUAUGCAAAUAAUUAACAUGCAACCCAGUUAACGAAGUUUUUCUUUUGAAGCUAUCAGUCCAUAAACUAACAAAAUACACAUGUAGAAUUACCCCUUUUUCCUCCUCUUCGACCACACAUCUGCUUGUCUGGAUUCUCAACGGCAUCAAUCACCACAUCCCCCGACAACUACGUCCAUGGCUGCUUCUUUCCGUAUGACCUUCUCCCUGUUGUCCUCCUCCCAAGCCAGCAGUCAUGGCAUCCCCAAGCAACAUAAGCCAGCAGCAACAAGCAACCAAUCUACAAACUGAGGAUUUCAUCCCAUCGCCCUUUGCUAGGAACCAGGUUUCAUUGUAUCCACUAUAUCACCUCGCUUGUUUGUUCAUUUCAUAUUUAAAUAUGUUAUCCAAUAUGAACAAUCCAGUCAUUUUGUAUGUUGUUUUCUUGCCAUUCUAUGCUAAUAUUAUUAUUUGUUCAAAUGCUUAUUUUUUUCUCUGAAAUGGCAUGAUCCCCAUCAAAACAAACUAUGUGAAUUGUUAGGUAAUUAAGUUCAAACUGUGAGCCGGAGCGCGAGAGAUCGCCACCGUUAUUGCCUCUACUUGCGCAGCCUACUGCAUGACCGCAACCCCUGGUACAUACCUAUUACCGAAUAAUACACAUGAAUGUGAGAUUUUCCUACCUUAUUUCAAUUCAGUUUGAGGUUGCAUUUUUUGCUGGUUUGUGAGAAUAUCUCGAGUCAGAUAAGGCAUGUCAAAAUGGGUGAUUAAGGUACUUCUAUUUUCAGGAUUUUAACAAGGCUGCCUGGUUUGUCACACUUUUAAAUGAAAAUCAGAAAAUGAUAAUUACAAAUGAUGGACAAAAUCCUUAAUUUAAUAUGUAUAGCCUCUUUGUCUGAAUUAAGACCAAUGCUUACUGAUUGAAUGGUGUCAACACGUUGGUAUCUAUCAAUUGGCUGUAAUGCUGCCCCAUUAGAUAUUCUGAGCUUAUUUUUAGCUUGCACAUUUUUGUUUCUUUCUUAAUUUAAGGCGGCAUAGGUUUCCGUGAAAGAGGAUCUUACAAAUUGGAUGCCAAUAUUUUUUAUCAAAAGAUUCUUAAAUUUCACGUACCAUCAAGUGACUGGUUUGCGAUCUUCCACACAUUACUUUAGGUAUCUCUUUGCCACAAAAUUCGGUAAAUUUCUUGUGAACUUAUUUUGAUAUUUUGUUGUGUCUUAAAAGCAAUUGGCUAAUUUUACUCCAGCGUUAGCAUGUGGAAGGUAUCGUAAUUAUUACGGGCACAUCUACAUUCAUGCACAUACACUGAGCUUUAAUCACUUCAUGCAAUUCUCAUUUGAUAUAGUAAGGACAGUUUUGUAAACGACACUCAAUUAUGAUUCUGAUUCGAUAGAUGAUGUUCUCUUACGGAUAUUAGCAAAAAUGUUAUGUAGGUAAUGUUGUUAUUAUUGUUUCCUUCAUCAACAUACACCACGUUAUUUACAGAGCAAUUAUAACUGUCUUAUACUUCUCCUUGGGACACUGCUUAUGUAUUUAUUUCUUCAAUUGAUUUGCCUUACUAAUAGUAUUUUGUUUGUAUUUCGAUGUAAGCAAUUGUAAGUCGGUUAACAUGUAGCACAACUUGAGACAUUGUUUCACAACCCACUGGCAUUUGAUAUUGAGCUUACGGCUUUUAUUAUUGUAGAUCGGAUGGAAUUUUACGACCUCAAAUCUGAGCAAGUGCACAUUCACGCAUCUAUCCUGGUGCAAUGCAAGAAUACUUGACCGUUAUAAUAUGAUGAUGUAGUGUAAUUGUAUCACUGGCCAGAACGCAUUGAAAUUUUCUUGAUAAUAUAUUGGAAGUUCUGAAAUAUUUGUACUGCCUA